rnacentral:lncRNA from 1 species
AUGGCGCAGGGGGGCCCCCAGGAUGGGUGGGGAGACUCAUCUCCCCUCUGCAGCUUGCCUGGGGAGGCUUAUGACCCCGGAAGGCUGAGCCUCAACUUGGAGAGUGAGGAUGAGGCCCCUGGAAAGGCAGGAGACCAAGGGGCCACUGGUGACCCUGAUCAGCAGGCCCGACCCAGGGGCAGCUCCCAAGUGACCAAGGACAAUCCUGACUUGCUCUGGCAGCAUCCAGCCCGCAGGAAGGAAGAGAAAUUCUCUGGCUCCUUUAGCACCUCAGGCGUGGAGAAGAAACCCAUGGCACUGCCGGGGAAGAAGGCCAGUGGGGAAAGAGAUGUGUCAAAGAUCACCCCAACCGGGGCCUCCCCCAGAGCAAGCACGAGUCCCAGCGCCCUCCCCAGGGGCCUCUCCCGCAAGUGGUUCAGUGAGACGCAACCUCCUAGGGCCUCACUACCUGCUGGUGAUGAGGGAGACUCAAGGACAAAUCUGGACGCCACCCUGGGGGUCCCAUCCAACUUCCUUGGUUCUGCAAGGCACUUCCGUGCACAGAAGGAGGGAGAUGAGUCCCCAGACAGCUCCUCUGCGGGGGUGUGUGUCCCCAAAGCAGGGGGCAGUUGGGACCUCUCCACGCAAGAGACACACACACCAGCCCAGGAGUCGGCUACCCAGUCCCGCCUGGCAGCGGGGGAGGCUCUGGCCAAAGCGCGGAAGGGCUCUAAGGACCCGAACCCGGCGGGCUCCGAGGAGGGCAGGCAAGGGGAGGCGCGUCCCUACAAGUGCCUGCGGGGCGGGAGGGCCGUCCAGAAGUUGACGGGCGCUAAGCCUUACGCGUGCGAGCUGUGCGGGAAGGCGUACUCCCACCGGGCCACGCUCCAGCAGCACCAGCGCCUGCACACGGGUGAGCGGCCCUACCGGUGCCCCUUCUGCGACAAGACCUACACCUGGUCCUCCGAUCACCGCAAGCACAUCCGCACGCACACGGGCGAGAAACCCUACCCGUGCCCGGACUGCGGGAAGGCCUUCGUGCGCUCCUCGGACCUGCGCAAACACCAGCGCAACAUGCACAGCAACGACAAGCCCUUCCCGUGCGCCGAGUGCGGCCUGACCUUCAACAAGCCGCUGUCGCUGCUGCGCCACCAGCGCACGCACCUGGGCGAGAAGCCCUUCCGCUGCCCCACCUGCGGCCGGGAGUUCGCCGUGGCCAGCCGGAUGAUGGAGCACCGGCGCGUGCACUCCGGCGAGCGGCCCUUCCCCUGCCCCACCUGCGGCAAGUGCUUCACCAAAUCCUCCAACCUGCUGGAGCAUCAGACGCUGCACACCGGCCAGAGGCCCUUCAAGUGCGCCGACUGCGGCGUGGCCUUCGCGCAGCCCUCGCGCCUGGCGCGCCACCAGCGCAUCCACACCGGCGAGCGGCCCUUCCCUUGCGCGCAGUGUGGCCAGGCCUUCGCGCGCUCCUCCACCCUGAAGCGGCACCAACAGAUCCACUCCGGAGAGAAGGGCUUCCUCUGUGCCGAGUGCGGCCGGGCCUUCCGCGUGGCCUCGGAGCUGGCCCAGCACAUUCGGGUGCACAACGGCGAGAGGCCCUACCAGUGCGCCGACUGCGGCCAGGCCUUCACCCGGUCCAACCACCUCCGACGACACCGACUCAAGCACCACAGCUGCAAGGAGCCCACCACCCCCUCCUCCGACGAUGAGUGA